GCUGGAUGUGUUGGCACGUGCCUGUAGUGCCAGCUAUUCAGGAGACUGAGGCAGGAGGAUCACUUGAGCCCAGUUCUGAGCUGGGCACUGUGCCAUUCAGGUGUCCACACUAAAUUCAGCAUCAAUAUGGUGACCUCCCGGGAGUGGGAGACCACCAGGUUGCAGUUGCCUAAGGAGGGGUAAACCGGCCCACAUCAGAAACAGAGCAGGUCACAACUACCAUGCUGAUCAGUAGAGGGAUCACAUCUGUGAAUAGCCACUGCACCACAGCCUGGACAACACAGUGAGACCCCAUCUCGU
rnacentral:SRP_RNA from 1 species